rnacentral:rRNA from 1 species
AGUGGCGCACGGGUGAGUAACACAUGAGCGACCUGCCCCCGAGACGGGAAUAGCCCCGGGAAACUGGGAUUAAUGCCCGAUGGUCUCGCAAGAGUAAAAGCAGCAAUGCGCUCGGGGAGGGGCUCGCGGCCUAUUAGUUAGUUGGCGGGGUAACGGCCCACCAAGGCGAUGACGGGUAGCCGGUCUGAGAGGAUGUCCGGCCACACUGGAACUGAGACACGGUCCAGACACCUACGGGUGGCAGCAGUCGAGAAUCAUUCACAAUGGGGGCAACCCUGAUGGUGCGACGCCGCGUGGGGGAGGAAGGUCUUCGGAUUGUAAACCCCUGUCAUGCGGGAGCAAGGCGCAAGCUUGAUAGUACCGCAAGAGGAAGAGACGGCAAACUCUGUGCCAGCAGCCGCGGUAAUACAGAGGUCUCAAGCGUUGUUCGGAAUCACUGGGCGUAAAGGGUACGUAGGCUGCCGCAUAAGUCGCGCGUGAAAGGCAGGGGCUCAACCCCUGGAGUGCGCGUGAUACUGUGCGGCUGGAGUGAUGGAGGGGGAACCGGAAUUCUUGGUGUAGCAGUGAAAUGCGUAGAUAUCAAGAAGAAGACUCGUGGCGAAGGCGGGUUCCUGGACAUUCACUGACGCUGAGGUACGAAGGCCGGGGUAGCGAAAGGGAUUAGAUACCCCUGUAGUCCCGGCAGUAAACGGUGCACGCUUGGUGUGCGGGGAAUCGACCCCCUGCGUGCCGGAGCCAACGCGUUAAGCGUGCCGCCUGGGGAGUACGGUCGCAAGAUUAAAACUCAAAGAAAUUGACGGGGACCCGCACAAGCGGUGGAGUAUGUGGCUUAAUUCGAUGCAACGCGAAGAACCUUACCAAGGCUUGACAUCCCUUGCAAAACUAUAGAGAUAUAGCAGAGGUUAUCAAGGUGACAGGUGGUGCAUGGUUGUCGUCAGCUCGUGUCGUGAGAUGUUGGGUUAAGUCCCGCAACGAGCGCAACCCUUGUCUUUAGUUACCAUCAUUAAGUUGGGGACUCUAGAGAGACUGCCGGUGAUAAACCGGAGGAAGGUGGGGAUGACGUCAAAUCAUCAUGCCCUUUAUGGCCUGGGCUACACGCGUACUACAAUGGCGUACACAACAAGAAGCAAUACAGCGAUGUGGAGCAAAACUUACAAAUUACGUCUCAGUUCAGAUUGAAGUCUGCAACUCGACUUCAUGAAGUUGGAAUCGCUAGUAAUCGCGGAUCAGCAUGCCGCGGUGAAUACGUUCUCGGGGCUUGCACACACCGCCCGUCA